AAGAAAAGAAAAGAAGGUUUCAAAGCAAACUCUUUUCAAAGAAUCUUAAAUAUUGGAAAUGCUUCCAGUCACAGCUCUUUUACCAAUACUGAGAACCAAAACUAAGUAAACAAAGUCUGAGAAGUUUUCCUCAAGUUUAAAACUAGGAAAAUUACUUGGGAAAACAAAAAUUAAAGCUUCAGUCAUCUCUCAAAUCCUUUCCCUUAUACUUGAGGGAAAUGCUCCGAGCUCUCUGGCAACCAAUCUUUCGGAAAAAGGUAUGAGCGCAGAAAGAAACAGCACACCUUGGAACUGUGUCAGAAAAUCUCUUCGCAUUGCAAUGACCUUCUCAUUCAGUGGGGAUUCUCAUGCUGACUAAAUCACAGCAAUGACUGUUAGCGGCAUUAUGACAUGUUUACAGAUUGCAAUCAGGAAUCAGAACUAGUCCAUGCUGCUCUGCUUCGCACAGAACAGAAGAAUUUCCAGUUCCAAAGCCCUUAACAACCAAAAAGAUACACUGAACUUCACAGUUGGCUCCUCACCACCUUGUGUCAACAGAGCUGGCUGGCAGCAGUGAAAACAAGCUUCUUCAAGGACUUAGAAAGACAGACAGGAUGAAGGAGAAUAGGAAAGGGCAGUCAGCAGUGCUUGCCUGAAAUGCACACAGCAGAUCUAUGAUGCAUCUUAUCAUAAUGCUCUGUGGCAAUCAUUUUCCAUCAGCUUUUUAUUCCAUAACCAACGACACUGGAUAAAGAUCACUAUUCUGUCAUACUCCACCCCAGCCCUCAUCAGUGGAUAUGUUUAAUAAUGCAGAAAAAACCUUUGGAAGGAUUAUUUUUAUUGAGUCAAUUGAAUGCGAACAUGUGAUGUUAGGAUGCAGAUAACUUCAAGGCAGCAACAUUUUUUUAACAAGUUUGGACAAAAGAGAAAAAAUAAGAUGAAAUGUAAGUAUGCUUUGGGAAAGAAACACAUUUUCCAUUUAUUUUCUUUAUCUGAUGUAAUUGUGAGGACAUUCCCUUCUGUAUCGUUAACACCUCGUAUUGACAGUGUUGACAACUCCAGAAAAUAGCCUGCUUACUCACCAAGCAUUCACCAGGAGAGGCAAUGAUAUAAGCCCUCCACAAAACACAGAAUAACACUCCCUGUAACUCUCAGCUCACUCUCUUACCCAGAGCCUUACGUAAAUGACAGGUUUUGCUGUUUUCCUGAGCUGUUAACAAAUGUGGACAUCAGCUGACCAAAAGGGAUCAAAGGCAAAUCUGCUCUCUCACAGACUGUGCCCCUCUUCCCUGACCCCCUACCCAUUAGUGGACAAAAGCCAGCUCACCCUCCGUAUUGAGCAGACAACACUAUCCCCCCUGAUAAUCAUUUGACGCUUUCAGAGUUGUUUCUCACUUUGCAGAACUUUUCACUGAUGCCUGUGUAGGAGUGACAGACCCAAAAUACAUGAGGAUCAGAGAUCAUUUCCAAAUCUUCCACAAGGGGCUUAGAGGGAUUCUUAUCUCCAAUUAGGAAACUAGCUGCCAUAGGAUGAUUAUGCUCUGCUGUGAUUUACACUGAAGUCAAUUGGCGUUUAGGUAUUAAAAUAGCUGAAGCAGGAUUAGUCACUACACAUAGGAAGCGAAAUAAAGCAGAGUAAACUGGAGUA